CUUGGGAGUACUUCGACCUAGCGUAGUAGUAUUGUUAACACCUAAUUGUAGAUCCCAUCCACCACAGAGUUUAGAAUCCAUGCUGGAUCGACCCUCAGCCUCUCCAUCCCCUCUGAGCGAGAGAGAGGCACACACACUAGAGAUGCGCUGAUGGGCUAUUAUUUCAACCAUAACUGCAUAGCAAAACUUCACAUCCAAUCGACAAUUUCGUGGUGCUUUCAAUAGUAUUGAAGACUGUUUUGAAGCGAUCAUGAAAUGGAAGCCAGGGCUGGAAGAGGAGGUGGAGCUCCUAAAACAUGCCCCUGCAGCCCACACCAAAAGUUUAAAGGGUCGGAUGGAACAGCAGGUGGAAGACCAUCCGCAAAAUUGAAUUUCCACAUUAUUUUAAAUAAAAUAUCAUUUAUAUUUGUUAGUGUACAGCUGUCUUUUCUUUUGAAUAGGCUCAACAUUAGCAACAGCCAGUCAAAAUGCAGGUAAAAUAUGAAUACAAGGAUACAAGG